CAUUGAAACACCGGUUCUCAUAUGACCUCCAAAGUUAAGCAACGUCGAGCUUGGUCAGUACAUAGAUGGGUGAUCACUUGAGAAUAUUAGGU